UCUGCCUUUAAACAGUUGGCCCUCUGUCUCGCCUACUUUGUAUUCCAAUGACGGUAAGGUCAAACCUCAUUUGAUGUAAGAGGGGAGAGAAAAUGUGUUGGAGGAAAAGAAACCCUUUGCCUGUGGAAAAAUUUCGGAAUUUGUGCUGCCACGGGCCUCGGCAACAGGCCGUCUCUGGAAACAGACUCCAGACCAAAGGGACGGCUGGGUGGCUCUUCAAGUGCGGCCCUGAAUUGCUCCAUCAAAAUAAAGACCUGGGCUUUUUUUCCACCCGUGGCGAAGUGGAAAGAUGACCUUUCUGGACCCCUCAGAGGUUACUCUCACCUCCCACAUGGUCAUCUGCUGCUGAGCUAAUGGGGAUCAUGACUGCCUACUACACAAGAGGAAACCUCCAGAGCUGCAAACAUAGAAGAGGCAAAAAGUGCAGUUCAUCAAGUUGAUACUUAGAGGCUGGCUCCAAAAGGGAGUCAGUAUAGGGUCUGAUUUUUUUUUCCCACAGUUUAAAAAAACUCCUUCACAACAGCUAAUCAAGUCAAGAACACACUCGUGGACGUAGGCAUAUCAUUGUCAAAGUCUACAAUCAAGAGACGCCUUCAUGAAUGGAUUUACAGAGGGUUUCCAGCAAGGUGCAAAGCACUGGUUAUACUCAAGGACGGAUGAGACUUUGCCAGAAAGAAUAAUAACCCAAAGUAUUUUGCAAAAGUAACUCAGGAGUUUCUCACUAGAAAAUAAACAGCCAAGUCAGUCAUCUGAUCUCAGAGUUCCAGACUUCAAGCAGUCAUCGACUGCAAGCGAUUUUCAUCCAGUUGUCUGGGACACCGAGUAGUCCUCCACACGCAGCCUCCGCUGAUGCCUGGUGAACUGGCUGAAGAUAUUGGCCAAAGC